rnacentral:rRNA from 1 species
UCCAGACUCCUACGGGAGGCAGCAGUGAGGAAUAUUGGUCAAUGGGCGGGAGCCUGAACCAGCCAAGUCGCGUGAAGGAAGAAGGUACUUAGUAUUGUAAACUUCUUUUGUCGGGGAACAAAGGCGGAGACGCGUCUCCGGAUGAGUGUACCCGAAGAAAAAGCAUUGGCUAACUCCGUGCCAGCAGCCGCGGUAAUACGGAGGAUGCGAGCGUUAUCCGGAUUUAUUGGGUUUAAAGGGUGCGCAGGCGGCACGGCAAGCCGGCGGUCAAAUCGCGGGGCUCAACCCCGCCCAGCCGUCGGAACUGCCGGGCUAGAGUGGGCGAGAAGUGCGCGGAAUGCGUGGUGUAGCGGUGAAAUGCAUAGAUAUCACGCAGAACUCCGAUUGCGAAGGCAGCGCACCGGCGCCCUACUGACGCUCAGGCACGAAAGCGUGGGUAUCGAACAGGAUUAGAUACCCGUGUAAU